CGGAGGAACUGGGUGCUGAGGAGCUGCAAGGCGCCUGGGGGAGGGGGGAGUGCCGGGAAGGAGAUGGUAAAUAGGGCGCAAAUGGGUGGCAUGAGGGAAGGGCUAGAUCGAAGUAGGCCUCUGGACCCUUGGAGAGCCACUGACUUCAGCAACAUUUAUAGCUGAACACAAGAGCUCUGUGUGAAGAGACCCCAUCCGUGCUGAUGGUGCAAAGUACCGUCUCCUCCGUGCUGCUGUCUGACAGAGGUCUUGGUGACACCUUUACAUUCAUUUCUGUCUUCCUGUGGAGAACGAAGCUUCUAUGGGGAAUCUGUAUGUAGGAGUAUAGUUAUGGUGGUUUUCUCUUAAUAGGAGGUCAUGUGGCUUCUGUUAAGGAAGUAGAG